ACGGCGAGUGAAGAGGGAAAAGCCCAAAUUUGUAAUCUGGCUCUUUUUAUAAGGGUCCGAGUUGUAAUUUUGAGAACUGUUUUCCGUGCUGGACCAUGUACAAGUCUGUUGAAAAACAGCAUCAUUGAGGGUGAUAAUCCCGUAUAUGAUAUGGACUACCAGGGCAAUGUGAUACAGUCUCUAAGAGUCGAGUUGUUUGGGAAUGCAGCUCAAAGUGGGUGGUAAAUUCCAUCUAAGGCUAAAUAUAGGUGAGAGACCGAUAGCAAACAAGUACCGUGAGGGAAAGAUGAAAAGAACUUUGGAAAGAGAGUUAACAGUACGUGAAAUUGUUAAAAGGGAAACAUUUGAAGUUAGACUUGUUAUUGUUGGUUCAGCUCUUUUUUUUAAGGGUGUAUUCCGAUGGUUAACAGACCAGCAUCAAUUUUUGGGUGUUAGAUAAGGGUCUUGAGAAUGUAGCAGCUUCGGUUGUGUUAUAGAUCUUGACUUGAUAUAAUGCUUAGGAUUGAGGAACGCAGUGAGC
rnacentral:rRNA from 1 species